ensembl:misc_RNA Metazoa_SRP Metazoan signal recognition particle RNA
GCUGGGCGUGGUGGCGCACGCCUGUAAUCCCAGCUACUCGGGAGGCCAGGACUGGAGAAUCACUUGAACCCAGGAGGCGAAGGUGGCAGUGGGCUGAGAUCAUGUCACUGCACUCCAGCCUGGGUGACAGAGUGAGACUCUGUCUC